AGGCGCAGACUGCCCUCCGACACGUGGUGGUAGCUGGGGUUUUCGUUCUGCUCUGGCGUUGGCGUUUACUUUCUCCCGCUGAGCGAUGCCGUGCCUCCUGUACAUCCGUGCCGGGACCGCUCUAGGGCGAAUGGCUAGGUGUGGCCAUCAGUUGUGCUUUUUCAUUUUUGGUUUGGAAUUCCUGUCUUCCCCAGUUUGCCAACCACAGCGCCCACAGCACGGCGCUCCUUGCGUGCCGACUGGAAAGAAAACGGGAGCUCUCAACAGGGAGGACACCAAGCAAAGUGGAGUGCCUGAGCGGCCACGAAGAAGCGAGUACUCCAGUGCCCAGAUUAGGUUACUGCGUGGCGUAGUAAACCACGGAAGCGAGUUGAGGUCAACUGCAAUCCGCACGCGUUUAAGUGGUUCCUUUCCGUCAUGCCUUCUGCGUCCGCCGGCAACUUCCCAGCAAGCACUGCGCAUAUUUGCAUAACAAUUUAUGUCCUUGCUUUAGUUUUACAUAAAAUCGAAAGGAUAGGUCAUAGAUGUUUUCUCUGUGAAGCUCCCUAUUAGGCUCUUAGGCUUUUAGGAUCCCUCAGGACGGUGAAAUAGGAAAUGGCAUAGGCUUUGUCUUCACCUCUACCGUUAGAUGGAUUCACUAACAUGGCCACUGUAUGUUCAGUGUUAAUGAAGUAAAAAGGGCUUCUGUCGUGAGUGGCACACGGAGGGCGCCUCGGUUGCUCUUCGUGCGGAAUCGACAUCAAGAGAUUUCGGAAGCAUAAUUUUUGUAAUUAGGGCAGCUGGUGAUCGUUGGUCCCGGCGCCCUUUCUUAUGUCAGUGAAAAAACAGUGUUUUGUGCUCACCGAGUUUUUUGAGGUUUGGGUUAUGUUGGUUUUGUUUUUACUGGUCUGAAGCCGAAAUUUAGCUUAUAGUUGAAUUUGGUGGUUUUCUAUUAGUUUAUUUAUUUUUUUAUGAUUGUUGAAUUUUUUUUACGUUCAAACUUUAAGCAAUGUGACGAGAAUUCUAGUAGUAAACUGGAAACCGUGUUUUUCCCAGCCGCUUGAGAAAGACAAAGCAGCUGAUUGUCUCUUGAAGUAUAAAGAGCGCAGGUAUUAUCCCCGUUUCACGAGUUAGAAACUUGGUUAAGCACACUGACAUGUUUAACCAAGGGUAACUGGUUUGAGCACAGGAACCUUGCCCACGAGGAGCGAUGCAAUUAAGCAAAACAGAUUUUGUAAGAACCCUUCUCUCUUUAAGCAGGCAUACCUAUCUUUAACACGGAGUUCUUUCUGAAACUUUUGGCCUUUAAAAACAUGCAAAGGCAAUAAUUUAAAACGGACUUAAGUAGCACUCUCAUACUGCUUAGCAACAACCUUUCUGGAGGGCAAUUCAGCAGCAGCCAUAAAAACCUAAAACUUCAAAAAUUCAUCUCAUAGGAAUGUAUCCUCAUUUAAGAGAUUUACCUAGAAGGGCCCGUUCGUUCUAACAACAAAUAUAUACUGUGCUCUGAAAUACUAGCAAACAGUAUAGACACAACCCUUGACUUCACAAGGCUUUAUAGUUUAGUGAGGAGAGAGAAUAGUAGAGUACAGGAAAGCUGAAUCUUGGGGAGAAGGGAGGGAGCUGUCUGGGAAAGUUUCUGAAGCAAUGAAUUUGAAGCUGAAACCUAAAGAAUGAUUAGAGGACAACCAGGCAAAGCAUGGGGGAAAGGGCAAUUUAAGUGGGAAAGCCUUGAGGCUAAAGAGAAAGUGCUUUUCUAGGAAGGAAAAGACCAGAUUCACUGGAGUAAAACCAUCCAGGCCCAGGACAGAAGGGAAGCCAGAAGAGGCUGUUGGGACCUGGUCUCACAGGCUGAGGAUGAUCAUUUCAGUGUUUUAUAAUGCAGAAGAAAUUGAAAAUUAUUUACACCAGGUGUUGGGAAACCUUUUCUGUAAUGAGUCAUUUGGUCUUUGCUAGUCAUUCAAUUCUGCUGUUGCAAAGCAGCAAUAGUCAAUAUGAAAUGAAUGGGUGUGGCUGUGUUCCAAUAAACCUUUAUGGACACUGAAAUUUAAA